rnacentral:misc_RNA from 1 species
UAUUUUUAUUUUUAUUACCUCUUUUUGAUUUUUAUUCUACUUUGUCAAUACUAUAUAAGAUAUAUUAAUAUAUAAUAGUUUUUAAGAUUAAUUUUGUUCUUUAAGAUUACUUAAUAUAUUAUCUAUAUUAUUGUAUUAUAUAAAAAAAAAAAAAAAAAAAAAAAAAAAAAAAAAAAAAAAAAAAAAAAAAAAAAAAUACUCUUAUUAAAAAAAAAAAAAAAAAAAAAAAAAAAAAAAAAAAAAAAAAAAAAAAAAAAAAAAAAUACUCUUAUAAAAAAAAAAAAAAAAAAAAAAAAAAAAAAAAAAAAAAAAAAAAAAAAAAAAAAAAAAAAAAAAAAAAAAAAAAAAAAAUCAAUCAUUAUCAUAUAUAUAUUAAGAAAACAUUACAUUUUACUAUAUUAUAUUUAUACAAAAAAAAAAAAAAAAAAAAAAAAAAAAAAAAAAAAAAAAAAAAAAAAAAAAAAAAAAACAUAAAAAGACCAAUGUACGAUACUAC